rnacentral:misc_RNA from 1 species
GAAAUGCGAUAAGUAAUGUGAAUUGCAGAAUUCAGUGAAUCAUCGAAUCUUUGAACGCACAUUGCGCCCUCUGGUAUUCCGGGGGGCAUGCCUGUUCGAGCGUCAUUACAACCCUCAAGCUUUGCUUGGUAUUGGGCACCACCAUUCUUGGUGUGCCUCAAAGUCAUUGGCGGUGCCACCUGGCUUCUAGCGUAGUAAUACUUCUCGCUAUGGAGUUUAGGCAAGUGUUUGCCACCAACCCCUAAUUUCAAGAUUGACCUCGGAUCAGGUAGGGAUACCCGCUGAACUUAA